ensembl:lncRNA
ACAGGGAGAGGGAGGGGGAAUUAGAGAGAAAGAGAAGGACACAGGGAGAGGGGAGGAAUUAGAGAGAAAGAGAAGGACACAAAGAGAAAGUAGGAAUUAGAGAGAAAGAGAAAAGGACACAGGGAGAAAGGAGGAAUUAGAGAGAAAGAGAAGGACACAAAGAGAAAGGAGGAAUUAUAGAGAAAGAGAAGGACACAAAGAGAAAGGAGGAAUUAGAGAGAAAGAGAAGGACACAAAGAGAAAGGAGGAAUUAGAGAGAGAAAGAGAAGGACACAAAGAGAAAGUAGGAAUUAGGAGAGAGGGGGGAAUUAGAGAGAAAGAGAAGGACACAGAGAGAGAGGAGGAAUGAGAGAGAGAAAGAGAAGGACACAGAGAGAGAGGAGGAAUUAGAGAGAAAGAGAAGUACACAGAGAGAGGGGAGGAAUUAGAGAGAAAGAGAAGGACACAGAGAGAGAGAGGGGGGGAAUUAGAGAGAAAGAGAAGGACACAGAGAGAGAUGAGGAAUGAGAGAGAGAGAAGGACACAGAGAGAGAGGAGGAAUUAGAGAGAAAGAGAAGGACACAGAGAGCGGGGAGGAAUUAGAGAGAAAGAGAAGGACACAGAGAGAGAGGGGGGAAUUAGAGAGAAAGAGAAGGACACAGAGAGAGAUGAGGAAUGAGAGAGAGAGAACGACACAGAGAGAGAGGAGGAAUUAGAGAGAAAGAGAAGUACACAGAGAGAGGGGAGGAAUUAGAGAGAAAGAGAAGGACACAGAGAGAGGGGAGGAAUUAGAGAGAAAGAGAAGUACACAGAGAGAGGGGAGGAAUUAGAGAGAAAGAGAAGGACACAGAGAGAGGGGAGGAAUUAGAGAGAAAGAGAAGGACACAGAGAGAGGGGAGGAAUUAGAGAGAAAGAGAAGGACACAGAGAGAGAUGAGGAAUGAGAGAGAGAGAAGGACACAGAGAGAGAGGAGGAAUUAGAGAGAAAGAGAAGUACACAGAGAGAGGGGAGGAAUUAGAGAGAAAGAGAAGGACACAGAGAGAGGGGAGGAAUUAGAGAGAAAGAGAAGGACACAGAGAGAGGGGAGGAAUUAGAGAGAAAGAGAAGGACACAGAGAGAGGGGAGGAAUUAGAGAGAAAGAGAAGGACACAGAGAGAGGGGAGGAAUUAGAGAGAAAGAGAAGGACACAGAGAGAGGGGAGGAAUUAGAGAGAAAGAGAAGUACACAGAGAGAGGGGAGGAAUUAGAGAGAAAGAGAAGGACACAGAGAGAGGGGAGGAAUUAGAGAGAAAGAGAAGGACACAGAGAGAGGGGAGGAAUUAGAGAGAAAGAGAAGGACACAGAGAGAGGGGAGGAAUUAGAGAGAAAGAGAAGGACACAGAGAGAGGGGAGGAAUUAGAGAGAAAGAGAAGGACGCAGAGAGAGGGGAGGAAUUAGAGAGAAAGAGAAGGACACAGAGAGAGGGGGGAAUUAGAGAGAAAAGAAGUACACAGAGAGAGGGGAGGAAUUAGAGAGAAAGAGAAGAACACAGAGAGAGGGGAGGAAUUAGAGAGAAAGAGAAGGACACAGAGAGAGGGGAGGAAUUAGAGAGAAAGAGAAGGACACAGAGAGAGGGGAGGAAUUAGAGAGAAAGAGGAGGACACAGAGAGAGGGGAGGAAUUAGAGAGAAAGAGAAGGACACAGAGAGAGGGGAGGAAUGAGAGAAAGAGAAGGACACAAAGAGAAAGGAGGAAUUAGAGAGAAAGAGAAGGACACAAAGAGAAAGGAGGAAUUAGAGAGAGAAAGAGAAGGACACAGGGAGAGAGAGGAGGAAUUACAGAGAGAAAGAGAAGGACACAGGGAGAGGGAGGGGGAUUUAGAGAGAAAGAGAAGGACACAAAGAGAAAGGAGGAAUUAGAGAGAAAGAGAAGGACACAAAGAGAAAGGAGGAAUUAGAGAGAAAGAGAAGGACAC